rnacentral:rRNA from 1 species
AUACGGAGGAUCCGAGCGUUAUCCGGAUUUAUUGGGUUUAAAGGGUGCGCAGGCGGCCAUUUAAGUCAGCGGUUAAAUCGUGGGGCUCAACCCCAUUCUGCCGUUGAUACUGGGUGGCUUGAUUGCGGUCGAGGUUGGCGGAAUUCGUUGUGUAGCGGUGAAAUGCAUAGAUAUGACGAAGAACACCGAUUGCGUAGGCAGCUGACCAGACCGCAAAUGACGCUCAUGCACGAAAGUGCGGGGAUCGAACAGGAUUAGAUACCCUGGUAGUCCGCACAGUAAACGAUGAAUACUUGUUUUCGGCGAUAUAAUGUCGGAGGCAAAGCGAAAGCGAUAAGUAUUCCACCUGGGGAGUACGCCGGCAACGGCGAAACUCAAAGGAAUUGACGGG